rnacentral:lncRNA from 1 species
UCUGAACUGCCAUCACCUCUGCAAGGUUAGGUGGCGGCGGUGCCUGUUGGUCCUCUGCACCUCCAGCAUUCAUGUUCUGCUCCUGCUCCUCCUGACCCUCCUGGUGAACCUCUCCUUCAGUGUCAGCUACGUCUCCCUGUACCUCCAUCUCUGGGACACAGCCACCAUGUCCUCCGCGGUGACCUCCACGAAGUUCACCUCGGGGAGCAUGACCUCCACUGUGACCACAACCUCUACCGGGGUUAGG